UUUCUAUAAACAAGAAGGUGACCAGGGAGGACCCAGGACCACCUCACCGUGAGGAGAGAAAGGAACAGUGUGGACAACAGAGGCUGUGGCUACAGGUAAUGAGCAAACCGGCCCAGGAGGACCUCCCUGAGCUAAGCCCACCCUUAAACUGUGUCUGCCACUAGAAAUCAUACAAAUGAAGGAAAAUGUUAUGUAUGACGGGCUGAGCGGGCCAGCACACCAGUGUGGCAAGUAAAGUUACUACAAGGAAAGAAAUACCCCAAGAAAGGAAGACAGAGGUACGACAGAGCAGGCACCCGAAACACAAACAAGAAGAGAGAAGAUAGGUGACCGAGUGGAACUGUGGAGGAGUGACAUUCGCCCCAAGCCGUGACAAACUCCGCCCACAGUCCCUCCCGAGGACCUGGAGGGACCAGCGGCGGCCACUCACUCAAGCGUUGCCGAGAAUGAGGCCAGGGAGGGCGACCCUGGUGAGGUGGGACACCGGUGUGUGUCUCCGCUCGCCUAACCAGCGGAGCGCACAAACUUCUCCGCAGAGCUGCUUAAGUCUGGCCACCCCGCAAGGGACUCCAAACACGGACAGCUCGCACCCCGGAACCCAGGACGCUCAAAGUCUAGAGAAUGAAUGGCUAUCAUAAGCAGCACAGCGCUGAAAAUGCCACCACCGCACAACCCACUGAGCAAUCCAGCCACCGCCCGCCACCUGCGCGUGGGCAGGGCCAGGCCGCUACUGCCUCCCAGCUGACCGCACAGGCUAAGAGGUAGCUGUUGCUGGGACAAGCCAGAGACGCGUAAAAGGCACGUAAGUCUGGCAAACUCUGGGGCACCAAGUUAUACUUCUAUCCAGGCUUACCUGGCUCUGCCCAGGAGACGCGUGCCACCAGCAGCAAGACCAAACUGGUGAGCAUGUCCAGGAGGUGCCACCUGCGGACGACAGUCACAGGUUAGCGGGCCUCAGACGACCAUCACUCCCUCACACCCUUUACCCCUGAGCCUGCAAACCUGGGCGCCAUCUCCCCAGGCCAGGCCGUCUGCGCCCGGAUGCUGCACCCAGCUCCUCCGUGAGCCGCUUGCCCACAGCGCUCCCGACCGCUGCUGCCGGCUAGGGCAGGGGCGGGCAGGGGCGAGCAGGGGCGGGACGGGGAGGAGACAGAUCAAUGGGCGGGGCCCUGGGCUCUAGGCGCAGAGCUGAGCCAGAGAGGACCUGGUGAGCGAUCUGAUAGGAUCUAGGAUCAGAACCUGAGGACAAGCAGGUUGGACAAGGGCUGGCAUCUAUCGCGGCUUCUAGAACUCCUAAUGGCAGUCUCUUCCUCUCCUCAAUGUCUCCAACGCGCGUGUUGUUCCUUCAUACCAGGCUGCCUCACCAAGCUACCAGAGGCAACAUGUGAGAUCUAGGUUCAAACCCAGGGCAAGGUGCAAGGAUGUCCUGCAUUCAUUAAUUUAUACCCACUAGAGGACUUGUGUUCAGUCCGUGAGGUGGACGACGGGAAGGCCAGCGAUUUAAAGAAAGAAGAUAUCUACUGCCAGUGGACACUGCAAAGUGACAGUGGUUACUUCUUAAGUCCCCUGCACUCUAGAUCGCUGGCUGCAGCCCGAGGCCUGCUUGGGAUUCUCGUCUGCUCACAUCAUCUGACUCCUCUCCAGGCUUCAAAGACCGGAUCCUGCCCCAGACCCAGGGGCCUGCCCAGUCUCGCUCAUCCACCUGGCCUACAUCCCCACUUCAUCUGCCUUCAAACUUAGAGUCCCCGUCCAGGUGAAAAGGGCACAGAGAGGAAGAAGGCAAUCAAGAGGAUGGUGGUCCACAUUUUCUCAAAGAAUAGAAAUGAUCAAUUGCCCUG